ACUCCUACGGGAGGCAGCAGUGGGGAAUUUUGCGCAAUGGGCGAAAGCCUGACGCAGCAACGCCGCGUGAGUGAUGAAGGCUUUCGGGUCGUAAAGCUCUGUCAGGGGGAAAGAAGUGUAGUGUGGUUAAUACCCAUGCUACUUGACGGUACCCCCAAAGGAAGCACCGGCUAACUCCGUGCCAGCAGCCGCGGUAAUACGGAGGGUGCAAGCGUUGUUCGGAAUUAUUGGGCGUAAAGCGCGUGUAGGCGGUUUGUUAAGUCUGAUGUGAAAGCCCCGGGCUCAACCCGGGAAGUGCAUUGGAAACUGGCAGACUUGAAUACGGGAGAGGGUAGUGGAAUUCCUAGUGUAGGAGUGAAAUCCGUAGAUAUUAGGAGGAACACCGGUGGCGAAGGCGGCUGCCUGGACCGAUAUUGACGCUGAGACGCGAAAGCGUGGGUAGCAAACAGGAUUAGAUACCCUGGUAGUCCACGCCGUAAACGAUGAGAACUAGGUGUCGCGGGUAA
rnacentral:rRNA from 1 species